rnacentral:rRNA from 2 species
GGACUACCAGGGUUUCUAAUCCCGUUCGCUACCCUGGCUUUCGCGCCUCAGCGUCAGGAGGGAUCCAGCAGCUCGCUUUCGCCACCGGCGUUCCUUCCGAUAUCUACGCAUUUCACCGCUCCACCGAAAGUUCCAGCUGCCCCUAUCCCGCUCGAGGCACCCAGUCUCAAAGGCACUUCCCCGGUUGGGCCGGGGGAUUUCACCCCUGACUUGGGUGCCCGCCUACGCGCCCUUUAAGCCCAGUGAAUCCGAACAACGUUCGCACGGUUCGUCUUACCGCGGCUGCUGGCAC